rnacentral:misc_RNA from 1 species
AAGAAGUUGCUUUUGACAGAAGAGUUUGAGAAUGGAUUUCGGGCUGGAAAAAAAGCUGGAAAGCGUACAGUAUCGCUGGCCCAAAUGCUUGGGAAACCCACUGGUGAGUUGCAAUCAAGUCGGAAGGAUGAGAAAGAGAACGGACUUAAGCAUCAUCUCCCUAAAAAAAGGAAGAAGUUUGGUUUUGCUAAGAUCUCUCAUCUUGUGACUCAACAUUCUAAGAAAAAAAAGCAGCACUGCCAGCAUAAUGCAAGUUUGAGGUGUACAUCAGCUGAGUAAAUUAUUAUUUCCAACUCGGUUUAAACAAUGUGAAUAACUUAGGCAAGGACUACUAUCUUGGGAUUUAUCCAAUCUUGAUUGUGUU